rnacentral:rRNA from 1 species
CAGCAGCCGCGGUAAUACCGGCGGCCCGAGUGGCGGUCACUCUUAUUGGGCUUAAAGCGUCCGUAGCCGGGUUGGGAAGUCCUCCGGGAAAUCUGGCCGCUUAACGGUCAGAAUGCCGGAGGAUACUCCCAGCCUAGGGAGCGGGAGAGGCCGAGGGGAUUCCCGGAGUAGGGGUGGAAUCCUAUAAUCCCGGGAGGACCACCUGUGGCGAAGGCGCUCGGCUGGAACGCGUCCGACGGGGAGGGACGAAGGCCAGGGGAGCAAACCGGAUUAGAUACCCGGGUAGUCCUGGCGGUAAACGAUGCGGACUUUGUGUCGGACAAGCUAUGAGCUUGUCCGGUGCCGGAGGGAAACCGUUAAGUCCGCCGCCUGGGGAGUACGGCCGCAAGGCUGAAACUUAAAGGAAUUGGCGGG